UUGGACCCGGCUGAGUACACCUGGUAGUGAGACACGUAUCCACAAAUGUCAGUAUUGUUCUGCAAAGUUUAAGAGGAAGGAUCAUCUUAAGACUCAUGUCAGGAUCCAUACUGGAGAAAGACCAUACAAAUGCAAAAUCUGUGGCCGGGGGUUUAUCCAGAGCCAACAGGUAAAAAUCCACAUGAAAGUCCAUGUGCGGGAAGAUGCCUCAGGUGUAGGUGCCCCAUCAUCUUUGGGGGGUGGUGGAGGUGGAGGCAGUAGCCUUCCAUCACUCUAUCCAGAUCUAGGGGGGCACUAUAGUGACCAACCGGGGCUAGGUGCCCCCCAUAAUGAUCCCCACACAGACUUGGAUCAGUCUACAGAUAAUAAUCCCCCUGACAAUGACUCUGACAAUGAGUGCAGCUCAGAGAUUGCUGAUGUGGAUUAUGAGGCGCGGCUACAACAACAAGAGAGUGGCAGUGGGGGUCCAGGUCGCACUCCUCCGACAUCCAACCCCUCGUCUGUGGGAGUACGUGAGCACAAGACCCCGUCCCCACAGUCCCCCUCUGGGGCUAUGUCAAGGAGCCACCCCACCCCCCCAGACGACCAGAGCUGCAGUGCCAUGUCUCUGAAGGAAUCAUUUCAUAUAGGUAGCAAUAUAAAAAAAUGAUGGCUAAUGUGCUGUGAUGAUAGAGGCUUUAAUUAAGUAACUGUUGGUUAUACUAAUUGUUUUGUUGCCAAUAUGCAUUUCCAAACCAUCAGAAAAUCUCUGGCUUCAAUGUUAAUUCCUUCAAAAGCAUAUCGAUGGCAGGAAUGAUACAAUAGCAACGGCUCAACUGGACAGACAGCUUACCAUUUCAACCCCACGUUCAAUAUGAAUUUACUGCAAUAAUACAAUAGAUGGAGUGUUUGCCUAACAGACUUCAUAUAUCCCCUAGCCAUUGUUAUGUCAAUGAUCAAGUGAGAAGUACCAGUGUGUGAUAAAACACGCACGACGGUCUGUGAUCUGUUUGUAGGAGGAUUUUUUUUCUACUUAAACUAGGUACUCAACCUGGACUCGUGCGUGCAAUAUGUAAUUACACUGGAACUCUGGGAAGUAUGGAGACUUUAGAGGGUAAACUCAGCCCAUCGGGUUGUUUACACCACUUUGUUUCAUUUUUUCUUAUCCCAUAUUUACACAAUUUUUUUUUAUGCUGAUGAAUUGCUCCCAAUUUCUUAUAAGCCAUAAUUUAUGUGUUGGACAUGCUCAUAGAGUCAGCAAGUGCUUCUCACAGAUAGUUUUAUAUUGAGAAGACCAAACUCCCCUAGAGUAGAUAACAUACUGCAAGAUUAUUUUAUUAAUCCAGAUGUCUUUAAGCUAGAAAUAAGUUUUAGUUUCUGUUAGACCGUAGUAAAGAUUUCUGUUUUGCUUUCACAUUGUGUGUUGUGGUGUUCAUUGGCAUUUACGGUUCAUAAUUUAGACAUUGUCAACUGUAUUAAGCUGUUAUUGAUACUGUAUAAUGACUUUUAUUAUUGUUAAUGCAGAAUAUGAGUUUGUAUGACAGUGCAAACAAAUCUUAGUACAAUUGAUCUUUGUCACAUAUCAAAGUUGACACAGCUCCUGGCCAUGCUUUCUUCCUCACAGCUUUGCAGUGGAUAAACAUCCAGUUUUACUAGUAUACAGUACUUUUUUAGCCGAUGUUAUUUCAUUGCCCUUCCACACACACAAUUACCUGUUAUUUUACAAAGGGAGUUUGGUUUAUCAGUGAGAUCUCAUAGUAGGGAGUAGAAAAGACUUGAACCCAGUGCCACCUUUUGUUGGUUCUUAAAAGUGAUGAUAUAGUAAUAGUUAAUUUUAAUAAUUAUUUGCCAAGUUAGGAGGAUAAAAACUUCACCAAAGAAGGUGUAUUUUAAUGUUUGAACUUUCUUAAAGUAAGGUAGGUUCAUCUGUUGUUUUCAUUCCCUUCUCCGCUACAAAGCAAAGUGAGGGGUGAGGCUUUGUUUUUUUUCUAUUCUAAACUGAGUGAUGCUUGAUGGAGGGGGGCUUGUUGCUUGUCUUUUUGAUAUAAGGGACAGGGUGGGUAUGAAUUCUUAUCCUACAUAUUAUGUGGUUUGCCUUUUGUAUACAGUAUGGGAUAUAGUGUCUGUUACUGCCAUAGAGCAAAGCUGAAUAUAAUCAUGAAAAGUUUCAGACCAAAUUACAUAUCAGUGUGUAUGGAUACAAGUUACAUAUCAUGUCUCAUAUCCAAAUUUACAAUUUAAACAUAUCAUACAAUACUGUAUCAUUCUUUAUGGUUAUCAGUAGUUGCCAUAUAAUUGUUGACAAAUGAUGCUUUUGGUAUGUACAGAUGAAACUUUAAGCUGGCCUUUUUAAUAGUGAUCCAUUUAAUUAGAUUAAGAAAAUUUUCUUUUAUUAUAUUAUAGGAAGAUAGUUCAAAUCUUUUGUCACAAACCUGUGUUUAUAUCUUUUGCAAUACAUAGUAGGACUUUCACACCAGACGAAUUAUCAAAUACAAACUUGCUUUAGUUAAUUCUAAUGAACAUAGAGAAAGUCCCACAAAAGUACCUAAAAUUUGUGCUGUGUUAACGUAUAUCGCUUUCAUUUCUUCAUGCGAUAAUGAUCACAUCAGCAGCUGUGAACACUGAACAUGCAUUAUAAGAUAUUUUACUCUUUACAACUUGUGAGUAAUGUCUUGGUAAUGCAGUACCCAGUGUUCAGUGUGUGUGUGUGUGUGUGUCAUUAUGUAAUGGCAUUAUAAGAAGUGGUGGAUGGAUCCAGAGUGUGUAGAGCCUCACCCCUUGAGCUGUGCCUGCCAACCGUCCCGGCUCACUGGACGCUGCCUCCUACAUUAUGUACCUAUUGGUCACAUUCCUGCCCAAGGCUGUGUAUCUUUGAUAUGCUGAUUGUCACUGCCCUUUUUUUUGUCACUUAUUCAUUCCCUCUUACUCAUAGACUUUCACUUUCAUUAUCUUAUCACUUUGACUUUCUUUCCCACAGUCGUCUUACACCACCUUUCCUCCUUUUGUCAAUUUCCUAAUUUUUUUUCUAAACUCACUUGAUUGUUCUUUCCCCCUACCUAUGACCUUUACUUACUUUGCCUCAACUUCUCCCUAUUCUCUUGAUUCUUCCUUUCUCUCCUCCUUUUCACCAUGAUAUUUUUUCUCCCUUUCUUAUUAUACUUCUAUCUUGUCUCUAUCCUGCCUCACUGCUUUUCCUUCUCUUUUUAUCCAUCCCCAUCUCAGACAAUGUGAAUUGGUUCGGUCCUGAUAUUAGUUAAUCCAGUGAUUACAGUGCCACUGUUGGCAGGCAGACUCUUGUUAAUGUUGAUAUUGGUCCGGGCUGUGAUUUAGUGUAUGCAAGCGCAGGAGAUGGUUAGCUAGGUAAAAUGAUGUGACAAAGUUUGUCUGGUGGGCAGAAUGCUCGGAGGAGACAGAACUGCUUCACUCACCAUGUAUACGAUUGGAACCCCCCUGGCAGGGACCACAGGGCUUCCUCACAGGGCUUCAGUAAAAAUGACGGUGUUGUCAGGUGAAUAUGUAUUACACUAAAUAGGUAUGUCCCUGGAAGGACCUGUUGCACUUAAUCACAUAUUACUGCAGUGAAAAAAAAGACAAUUACUAUCACUCUGCAGUGUUCUGAAUUGGUAAAUCAUGUACAGUACAAGCCUGAUGUAUAAGCUUUAAACAUAAAGAUCCUCCUCAGUGUCAUUAUUAUUUAAGUUAAAUGGAAGUCCUGUGCAAAAUCGAGGCUGACGGCACAAGCUGUGUAAAGUUUCACCUUUCUAACAUUUGUGGUUUUACAUAAUGUUGAUAUUUGCAUUGCUUAUAGUGUGAGCACAUGUUUGUGUUGGGGUACUGCCCUGUGCAGGUGUGAGGGCCGCCUGUGAUGUGGGUGCAGCGGCCAGCCAGACUCUGCCCCGGGGGUCCCAAUAUCCGCCUUCUGGCUACAGGGUCAGGGGUAGUUUUACCUGUAUAAAUAUCAAGACAUUGUUAGCUUAUAUGCUGUUAAUGUUGACCUUGAUGUAAGACCUAUGUUAUUUGUACCAUUAUCUGUGUAAAUUAUUGUUACGACAAGUAGGUGGCUGUACUAAGAUGUGAUAUGCCAUUGGCAUAAGGGCAAACUUUGCUCACAACUGUAGCUUCCAGCUGCACAAUAAGUAUGAAUUAGACUGCAAGAUUAGAUAAUGCACAAAGCAGUGUUAUGACUGAAAGUUUGUUAGCCAAAGGUUAGGCAUGCAUGCCUAUUUUUAGGGAGCUUUUAGCUCUUUGUUACAGGCUUAUAAUCACCAGAGUUAGUUAAUGAGACUUAUUUUGUUUUAUUUGUUUGGGUGUUGAGCCCAUUUAAUCAAAUAGAAGACUUAAUGCUAUGAUCUAUGAUGUAUAGUUUGGCACUGCUUUGACAGUGUCUGAUUUAUUGAUCCAACUCUGCUCACAUUUUCAAAUUAUUCAUUAUUGAUGUCUCAUGGUUCCUGACCUAAAUGAGUUUUUGUAUAGGAGAUGAACAACGAAGAAUGAGCUUAUCGUGUAGCUGGCAGCUGUGCUCUUAGCUGUGGCGCUGAGACAGCUACAAUGUGUUCAGUUCUGCUUUCAACGAGUUGGUAUCCUAACCAGGCAGCACUGCCGGUUAUUUCACGGCUGCCCACAUAAGACUUGGCCCUGGCUGAUGCGGUGCCCACACACUACAUCUUUAUAUGAAGUAGAGCAAUUUUUCCUAAUAGGGUAUUUUAUAUAUAGAAUUUCAUGCACCAGCACAUUCUCUAUACCUUGAGCUUCCUUUUAGGUUAAGGUAACUUUAGUCAUGUUACUUUUCUAAAGGACUAUUAUUUUUUCCAAAGCAGUUGUCACACUCAAAGAAUUGAAUUGGAUAUACAUAUUUAACUGAAGAAUAUUUCUCAGAAUUGGGUACUACAAUGGGAAAAAUUUUAUCAACUGAUUAUGUAAAGGGAAAAAUAGAACUGAAUGUAGUUAUCAUGAAUAUAAAUACAUCAUUUACAGUGCUUCGUAGUCAAAUAGGAAAAAAUUUACCAGGGCAAUCAUGCGUGGGCAGCCAGGGCUCAUUUUAAUAGUGUUUCCUCAACAUAUCAGAUAUGAUCCCUCCUUUUAAACUGCCAUCAUUUGUAGUUGUUACUCUAUGAUCCGUUUUCCUUGUAGAUGAUAGACAGGUAGGAUGACACACGGGCGGGCCGCUUGUCACCACAUUGCCAGGCAGAGCUGGUGGUUUGGGAGAUCAGGAACUUAUAUUGCUUCUCCUAUCCUGUAAUUGUGUGGGAUGCCAAUUAAAGUCAAAACAAUGAAAGUGAUGCAGAUGCACUUAUCAGAUGUGUUGGACAGAUCACUAACUUAAGAAUAAUUCAUUGGAAUCAGAACAAAGUCAUAGGGCCUAUUCCUCAAGAUCAUCAUCUAGAAAUCCCAAGUUGCCAGCGGUACUACCUUGCCGGGUAAUGUGGCGGUGGUAAUCCGUGGCCCAGGCCAGAGGCAGCACUUUGCUGCUGUAUCCGCUGGUAGCUAUGUUUGUGGCAGUGCAACUAACUGGAGGUGAUGGAUUAGGCCUGUGAUUAUUGCUGAACAAUUCACUUAUUAGUAUUUGUUCUAGUCAUUUUCAAAUUGGAUUGCUAUUUAUAUAAUGGAUUUCAUUCCAAAAGAAAUUUGUUAUUGGGGAUAUUUUGUACUGUAUGUGGUGUAACCAUGUAAAUUAACAAAUCUUCCUCUUGAACAUGUACUUGUGGCAAGGGGUCCCCUGAUAGCACUGGCAUACUGAAGAGUGAUUCUCACCUGGUACAUAAACACUGCAACCAACAUGCAACUCUUAUGUUGUGGCCAAAGAAGGCCACGUACACUUAAUUACCUGCAGUGAAAGACUUGUGGUGAUGUGAUAUUUUGAUGGUUCAUGGGCUACAUUUUAUAAUUACUGUGACUGGUUAUUAUACUAACAUAUACAUUGCCCAUGGGUUAUUUGCUGGACAGAGGUUAAUCAUGGUAACUGAUAUGUUCAUAGGUUUGGUGUUGUGUAGUAAAAAUAUGUACAUAAUUUUGAAGAGAAAUGUUAAUAUUGUUUAUAAAUUGGUAUUAUUUGUUUUUAUUUUGUUAGUGUUGAAGCCAACAAUUGAAGACAAUAUAUAUUUGUACUAAGAGUUUAAUGCUUUUAAAAAUUGCCUGUUAUGUUUUGUGCUUAUAAAUUUCAAGCUGAAGCUUAAUUUAAUUCUAAGAAUUAACCUUUAAAAGGUAUUUUGUUGUAAAAAAUUAUUACUGUAGUCUUAUACUACCAAGCAGGUGAAAGUGGUCUGACUUUAAACAAAUACUUCCAUUGAAGAGGAAAUCAUUAUAUGAAAUAAUAUUAUAUUAUAUUUAUAACUCAUGUUUUAUAAGGUAUGUGUACAUCCCCGAAGUAAUGAAAAGUGAAAUUAACAGAUAGAAAUGUUCUGUACUGUACUUGAAAAUUUUUGCCCUUUUUGGUAUUAUACAAGUUAGGUGAAAGACUUAGUCAGAAUUGGUUACAGAGUUCAUGCAUGAAAUUUAACUGUUUUAUACUGUGAUGCUGCCUUUUCAAUUGUGAUUUGAAAUUAGCAUAUCAGCUAGUAGUUUGGAUGCCUUGUUGAAACACUAGUUGUUGGUAAACUUGUUUUAAGGAAUAAUGUCUGAGGCAAUAUUGUACAGGGUAGAAUGCAGGGGACCCCAGUGUGCUUGAUAUGCCUGUGAUAGGAUGUGAAAGGUGAAGGGCAUCCCCUCUGUAGUAGUGUGAGCCAGUGGUGGGUAUUGUGACGGCGGUCUCUAAACGUGCAACCCGCUGCUGACACCACCUGCAGACGAAAUCAAAACUUACAAGUUUAUAGGGAUGCUCUUGGAGAGUGUUCAUGGCCCUGCUGGUAGUCUGAUAACCAGUGGCAAAUGGAGAAUUAAUUUUAUUCACUUGUGAUGUGUUUUUAUGAAGAUCUAGUUUUUAGUCAGUUGAGUGAUUAAAAGUACGGACCUUUUGAAUGUCCCUUUUUCACCAAAGGCCCUUCAUUAUUCCUGCAGUGUUUGUACCUGGAAAGUAUCAAGUAUUGUGCAUGUGUGUUCCUUUUGUUACCUGUUUGGAGGCCAGUGAGACUGGCUUUGGUACCUGCAUGAUAUAAGAGUGUUGGGGGGGGCGUGCCCUUCACAAGUAUACAGAUCGCAAGACAUUUGCUGUUGAUACUGCAUUGUGACAGGCGAUGAUGGUGACCACGAUACAGAAAUGAUAGGCACAUAUCAUAUUGUGUACAGUAGAUCUUUUUAAAUUGUUAUUCAUAAUCUUUCAUCACCAGGGACUCCAACAAAUACAGAGACUCUGGUCUAUAUUCUGUGGUAAUUUGACCCCAGCCAACUAAUCUGUCCGUACGAGGUUGUCUUGGCAGCGUUUGUGGACAUUGUGUCCCUCAACUGAUUGGUGUCUUUUUUUCCAGAUAUGUAUAUUAUUAUUGAUUAGUAUACUGUAAUAUAUAUUAGAGCACAGGUGAUUCCAUAUGAUUAAGGUUUAAUUUGCUUUAAAAGCAUUGUGAUAAGUGUGUUAUAAUGGAACUCGUGUGAUAUAACCAAAUUAUAAAAUUAGAUGUGGUAUAAGUCUUGUCAUAAAUAAAAUUUAAGUCACACCAUCAGAAAUGAGGGUCAUGUCCACAGAAAUAAUUCUGAUUCUAAGGUCCUGCUGAAUGAGAACCUCGUGCGUCCUGACAAGGUCUCGCUCGUGCCCUAACUGUAUCUUGUGCCAAAGAGACCCGGGGCCCAUGGCUCAACAGCUGCUGAUAGCUGUCAGUGAUGCACUCGCCCGGAGGGCACCUCGUUACCCUCACUCCCAAAGUAUACUUAACUAUGGAGAAAUAGAACCGUCCUUUUGGCAAUAACUACCCCACUGAAGGAUGUGCUCCCAAGGUGGCUGGCCCGGGCAGGGGAGGAGGGAGGGGUGUGGUGAUGCCCUCAGCCAGAGUGAGGGGCCUGAAUUCUACCCAAUUGGUGGCAGUGGCACACGGGAUGAUGGAUCCUUGUACAGAUGCUAGUCACAAAAUGUCCUUUCUUAAGUUUUGUACAAAAAAUUAAUUUAUUCAAAUUGAACAAUAUGUGAGGUAAGCAUUUCUGUUGUGGUCCAAUACCUCCUGUGCCACUGUGUCCCUCGCCUGGCUAUUAGAGGAGGUGAAGCGCCAGGCCCAGGCGAGACCACUGUCACUCAACAUUUCCUCUCUCGUAACAGUCUCUCAUUUUUAGUACGAGAUCAGUGCAAUAAUUACGACUAGACUACAAUACUUUUGAUUUACCAUAAUUAUGAAUUAUUGGGCCUGGGGGUGGAUGCCACCAGUUACAUGUUAUAGGCCUCUGCUUGCAACAGUUUACCCAUAGUUGUUUUAUUUCACUUUUAUAUUUGUAGUGUACCUGCUAGACAGCACAUUUCUUGUACAGAGUUCCAUGCAUCCCCCAUCCAGGCCCUUUGGCCAUAAAGUUCAAUACCGCUUCCGUUGACUUCCACAGUACAGUAGCUCGGUGGCCCGAUUAACCCCCUGCCACCCCCUGCCCCACCCAUUGCUGCCUUUGGCAGUGAGCAGUCCUCACCUCACCCCUGCUGCUAGGUGGAGGGCAGAGGAAGUAGUCCAUUGCUUCUACUCCAGCAUCUUCCACUAUGCAGCAGGAAACCACUGAAGUACCAGUCCCAUUUGCAGGUGUGGUGCAGCAGGUGGUGGCAGGUGGCUGCUGGCUCCAUGUUGGGGUCGGGCUGCUACCAAUCCACAUGCCCAUACACACCUGCAGUUGCUGUUAUUGUUCUGGUUCCCAAGGCUUGGUUCACAUCCUUACUCUGUUGGUUAGGUUCAGCCUAUCAUAUCACGUUUGUAGUCCAUUUAUCUCAAUAAACAACGAAAAUGA